AGUGUGAUUGCUGGGUUGUGUGGUAAGUGUACGUUUAAUUUUUAAAGAAACUAUCAAAAUAUUUUUUGGAUUGGCUGUACCAUUUACAUUCCCACCAGCAAU
rnacentral:pre_miRNA from 1 species